GACGAACGCUGGCGGCGUGCUUAACACAUGCAAGUCGAACGGAAAGGCCCUGCUUUUGUGGGGUGCUCGAGUGGCGAACGGGUGAGUAACACGUGAGUAACCUGCCCUUGACUUUGGGAUAACUUCAGGAAACUGGGGCUAAUACCGGAUAGGAGCUCCUGCUGCAUGGUGGGGGUUGGAAAGUUUCGGCGGUUGGGGAUGGACUCGCGGCUUAUCAGCUUGUUGGUGGGGUAGUGGCUUACCAAGGCUUUGACGGGUAGCCGGCCUGAGAGGGUGACCGGCCACAUUGGGACUGAGCUACGGCCCAGACUCCUACGGGAGGCAGCAGUGGGGAAUAUUGCACAAUGGGCGGAAGCCUGAUGCAGCAACGCCGCGUGCGGGAUGACGGCCUUCGGUUUGUAAACCGCUUUCGCCUGUGACGAAGCGUGAGUGACGGUAAUGGGUAAAGAAGCACCGGCUAACUACGUG
rnacentral:rRNA from 1 species